GACGAACGCUGGCGGCGUGCUUAACACAUGCAAGUCGAACGCUGAAGCUCAGCUUUUGUUGGGUGGAUGAGUGGCGAACGGGUGGGUAACACGUGAGUAACCUGCCCCCUUCUUUGGGAUAACGCCCGGAAACGGGUGCUAAUACUGGAUAUUCACUGGUCUUCGCAUGGGGGUUGGUGGAAAGGGUUUUUCUGGUGGGGGAUGGGCUCGCGGCCUAUCUGCUUGUUGGUGGGGUGAUGGCCUAACAAGGCGUUGGCGGGUAGCCGGCCUGAAAGGGUGCCCGGUAACAUUGGGACUGAGAAGCGUCCUAGACUACUCCGCGGGGCAGCAGUGGGGAAUAUGGCAGAAAGGGUGCAAGCCUGAUGCAGCGACGCCGCGUGAGGGAUGGAGGCCUUCGGGUUGUGAACCUCUUUCGCACAUGGUCAAGCCGCAACAAUGGUUGUGGUGAGGGUAGUGGGUAAAGAAGCGCCGGCUAACUACGUG
rnacentral:rRNA from 1 species